ACGAACGCUGGCGGCGUGCUUAACCCAUGCCAGUCGAACGGAAAGGCCCUGCUUUUGUGGGGUGCUCGAGUGGCGAACGGGUGAGUAACACGUGAGUAACCUGCCCUUGACUUUGGGAUAACUUCAGGAAACUGGGGCUAAUACCGGAUAGGAGCUCCUGCUGCAUGGGGGGGGUUGGAAAGUUUCGGCGGUUGGGGAUGGACUCGCGGCUUAUCAGCUUGUUGGUGGGGUAGUGGCUUACCAAGGCUUUGACGGGUAGCCGGCCUGAGAGGGUGACCGGCCACAUUGGGACUGAGAUACGGCCCAGACUCCUACGGGAGGCAGCAGUGGGGAAUAUUGCACAAUGGGCGGAAGCCUGAUGCAGCAACGCCGCGUGCGGGAUGACGGCCUUCGGGUUGUAAACCGCUUUCGCCUGUGACGAAGCGUGAGUGACGGUAAUGGGUAAAGAAGCACCGGCUAACUACGUG
rnacentral:rRNA from 1 species